rnacentral:lncRNA from 1 species
UCCUUUAACUCCCCAGAAAACUGUUGAUCUCCUCGAAGUGCCAGGCUGAACCUUUGCACUCAGUGCUCGUGGCUGCGACGCUCCCUCCACAACAUCCCCGUCCCUCUUCCCUAAUUCGUCCCGAUUUUGUAUUUCCAGAGCUCCCCAGGUUCCCUCGGGUCUCGGGCGGGUGCAGGGCUGCUGUCUGGACAGAACGGGAGCGUUUGGUGCCGAGGCAGGGGAGGAAGCAGCGCCGGCACUUUUUAGCCAACUGGACCAAGAUGGGCUCUAUUCCCAUUGUUGUUGUUGUUAUUAUUAUUAUUAAUUAUUAUUAUUAUUAUUAUUAUUAAUCCAAAUUAAAUUUAUCCCGCUGUAACUUCCAAAGCACCAGUGAAUUUACCUUAAACCUGCUUUCUGUCCUAGCCAAUGGUGGCAGGAGCCGGCUAGCCUGUCCCUCUGGAGCAUUAACCCUUGUCGCUAGCUGGAGUGAGUGAGAAGCUGAGGUUUGGCCCUGAGGAGCUGUAUGCAUAGAUCUGGCACAGCUUUGCUCCCUUAACUCCUGGAUCUUUGUUUUGGCGGCGACCAGGGAGAGCAGGGAGCGCUGUGCUCGCAUUUCCCUCUGGCUUACAUACACACACACACACACACACACACACACACACACAAAUCCCCUUUCCAACUUUCUGCCUUUUGCACUUCCCUUCCAGUUUUUCACUUCUCAGACCUACUGGCAGCAUUUGCCGAGAUCUAGAUCCCCGCCGUGGAGGGGCACUGACUGCUGGUGCAACAUGUCAGUUCAUCAGCCUGUUGACUAAAAUACAGUAUGACUUCGCUAAUGACCGGGAUGCAUAUUGCAGAUUACCACAUUUUGCAAAUUAGUGAGUAAUCAAACACCAUAAAAAUCAAGGAUACUGCAUAAUGAAAUAUACUUUAUUCAUUUAUUUUUAUAAUCAUAUAUUAGAUUUAAUUAUUUAUGUUAGUAAUUCAUUGGCUGCUAGCACAUGGAGCUAUGGAACGUGGUUUUUAAAAAAAAAUGUUUUAUUAACCAAAGACCCCA